UACGUAGGGUGCGAGCGUUAGUCGGAAUUACUGGGCGUAAAGCGUGCGCAGGCGGUAAGUUAAGUCUGAUGUGAAAGCCCCGGGCUCAACCUGGGAACGGCAUUGGAAACUGGCUUGCUGGAGUGUGGCAGAGGGGGGUGGAAUUCCGCGUGUAGCAGUGAAAUGGCGUAGAGAUGCGGAGGAACACCGAUGGACCGGAACGGCAGCCCCCUGGGCCGAACACGUGACGCUCGAGGCGACGGAAAGCGUGGGGAGCAAACAGG
rnacentral:rRNA from 1 species